GUCGUUAUAAAUUCUAAAAAGUUUCUAUUUUCUACAAAAUUCCAUUUUAGAAAAUAAUGCCAAUUUCAAAAAAUCAUAUGUUCAUAAGUUCAUAAGAUAUCAUUGUCAUUACACAUUAUUUAAGACAUAAACGUGAUUUUGGUGGUUUAAGGGUCAACGUAUAGAAUUUUUCUUAAUGCAUUAUCUCCGCCAUAUCAUAACAAGAGGGUGUCGUGGGCGCGCUCUCCUGAAAAUGGUUCCAGCAAAUCAAGCACCUAUAAGAUCUAUAAUAAGAAUGAAUCACGAUGAAUAUACAAAGCCUUUUGAUAAUUUACCUUUCUCUGCUCCCAACAGAUAUGUCCUUACAGCAGUAUUCUGCGUCUUAUUUGGAGUAGGUUGGUGGGCUCCAUAUGCUAUUGUUUGGUAUGCUAUGGCAAAGCGUACAAUGUGAUGUUAAAUUUUGUACACAGUAAAAAUAAAUAGAAUACUAAAUAUCUUCCAAACCUU